CCUACGGGAGGCAGCAGUAGGGAAUAUUGCUCAAUGGGGGAAACCCUGAAGCAGCAACGUAGCGUGGAGGAUGAAGGUCCUAUGAUUGUUAAACUCCUUUGUUAGAGAAGAUAAUUACGUUAUGUAACGAAUAAUCUCCGGCCAACUCCGUUCCAGCCGCCGCGGUUCCACGGCGGGUGCAAGCGUUACACGGAAUCACUGGGCGUAAAGCGCGCGUAGGCGGGAUAGCAAGUCAGAUGUGAAAUCCUAUGGCUUAACCAUAGAACUGCAGUGGAAACUGUUAUGCUAGAGUGUGGGGGAGGUAGGUGGAAUUCUUGGUGUAGCGGUAAAAUCCGUAGAGAUCAAGAGGAAUACUCAUUGCGAAGGCAGCCUGCUAGAACGUAACUGACGCUGAUGCGCGAAGGCGUGGGGAGCGAACAGGAUUAGAUACCCGUGUAGUC
rnacentral:rRNA from 1 species